rnacentral:lncRNA from 1 species
GCGAACAUAAUCACCAGGUGUGCUGGGACCAAGUCUCACACAUAUGAUGAUUCAUGGCACAGGAUCGAAUGUCACAUCUUUACUAUAUAAUAAGAGUUCUAUACAAAUAAAUAAAUAGAUAAUUACAUCAAAAGGAGACAACGGUCCAGCAACCCAAAGUUGACUGGGAGACGACGACCUAGACCUCUCACGAACGCAGCACAACAUCCUCCAAGCACCUCAUCCUGUGGUACCUGUUCUUGACCUGUGGGGGUGUGAGACAGCAAGAGUGAGCUCACAUACGUUCAUCGCUCAACAAGUUGUGGGGAAUAAUGUGUAUGAACUCGCCAAAGGUGGGAGCUCAUGUGAAGUGUAAGGCUUACCAAAGAGGAUGGCUGAAGCUGAGCAUUGCUUUUAAAGUUGGUCAAAAUUUUAUUAGCAAUUACUAAGUAUAAGUAAAUACCAACCCAAUUAAGUAGCAGAACAAAAGUAACAACCUCACCUGCGAUGCAAUGCAUAUGACAAAUUGAGUUUAAGUUUCAUAAUUUAAUCAUGUGAGGGUCCGAGCUGCUCUUGACCGUGAGCAUGGCUAGUAUACCAGUUUUACACUCUGCAGAGGUUGCGCAUCUUUACCCACAAGUCAUGUUACCCAUCUGCCAAGGGAUCGCGACUUCCCAUACACCUCUACCGAGGAGGCGAGGCAGGGUAACACUACGAGGCCUUUACAAAGUUCCACUAGCUUCAGAAAACCCGCUACAGUUUAUAGGAAGCUCCAAUGCAGGAAUCCCUUGCAGGACCGCCGUCGCAGCAAAAUCCUCCCGAGGGCCUCCCUACACUGACCACUCCCCCACUGCCCUUGCCCCUUUCGGGUAAGGUAGUCUUCCACUAGCUUUCCUAAUUAAUCAGCCAAGGGGUCCCAUUCCUCCCUUGUGGUAGCAUUGUUUUCCCGGGUGGUCGCUCCAUGUUCCAAUUAACAUAAUGAUCUUAUCAUGAACAGUAAUAAUAAACAUAUAAUAAAAGUGUGAUCAUGAAUAAUGUACCUUCAUACCCAAAACCACAUAAAGCACUAGCAAGUACUACCCAAAAAGUUCAGUGGUAAACAAGGUAUAAAGAUAGACAAACUAGGGUAACCUAUUGGGUCCCAUCAAAAUUAACCUAUGCAGAUCAUUAUGAUUAAUCAGAACAUGGCUAGGUAAAAAGAAGUGAUCAAGGGCACAACUUGCCUGGGACUUGAGAUUCUAGGUACCAGGAUGAUCUUCAGAGGACUCGUAACCUCGCGCUAGUCGUAGCAAUACAAACAAACAUGGUAUAGGCAAAAUUAACGUCACACCAAACACAAGGAUAAACUGCGCAUUAAUAAUCUACGCGUUGCUACGAGAUCGUGGGGAACGUGAACCAUUAAAAUCGGAGUUACGGUUAAAGAGUCAUGAUUUUAUAGAAGAUUUAUGUGAUUAAAAAUAUUAAUCUAUAUUAUAAAUUAGUUAAUAUAAAUCAUAUAAGAGGUUAUUCUAUAAAUAAUUAUCUCAACUUUAAUCUAAGUUAUAAAUUGACCAUAGAUCAUAUUCUAGUAGUCUAUAAUGAUAAGCAGUUUAAGCACACCAACCAACAUCAGUUAAAUAUAGAUCUAAUUAUAAAAUAAUGAGACAUGGUAUAAUAAAUAUUGUUAUUACAUAGAAAUUAUUCGUACGAGACUAACGCAACUUGAACGGAUUAAAUCAGAAUCAUAGAUUUUAAGUUAUGAAUUUCUAAUGAUUUUAUGUAUUUUGCACAAGAUUAAAUAGGAUAUAAAUUUAAAUGUAACUUUCAUGUCAAAACAGUGGCACUAACUGAUAAACAAUAAUAUUACAAAAUUAUAGGAAUUGGAAUGGAUUAAUUUGGACUCAAUAUGGAUUUUCUAUGAAUUAAAUAAGAUUCUGGAAUUAUUUUAACACUAGAAAUCAUUUUCUAAUUGAAUUUCUGAAUUUGCUCUGAUUCUGGACUGUGCGCAUAAAAACAAAGAAAUGCAGGGGUCUCUACGAAACAAUCCCGAGGCUCAGACAACAGUGCUCGGGACGGUGGGUUGGUUUCUGUAUUCUGUAGGGGCUCAUAUGCAAAUGUACGGGAUCGAAGGGGUAUCGUGGAGUCUGGGUCGUCCGAUCUAAUCCUAGCCGCCCAACAAGGAUCCGAUGGUUGCGAGCUCUCCUCCCCAACCCGGCUGGCCAGAUCUGAUCACGGCCGUUAAUCACUAAAUCCAUGGCCCAGGGAUCGUCUUCUACCUUGGCUGCUACUGCUUCUCAGUACGUACGUGAUACCGGCCUACGGCCUCUACCGUAGAUACCACACGGUGGCAACCAAGGCAUGGGAGAGGAGGGACUCACCGCUUAAAGGCAGAGCCGACCGACGACGGAACGCGGUGCGCAGCGAGGCACAGGAGCCAAACGCCGACAAGCAUAGGAUUCGCGGCGGCGGAUGAAAUCCUAAUUACCCAGCGCUCUAUACUCUAAUCCGAAGAGUACUAAUCGUAGCGCAGAUAAAGCCGAAUUUAGGGAGGGAGCCAUACCGAGCAUCGAUCAGAAACUAUCAUGGAGACGAUGUCCCACGGCUCCGCGCGGACGCGACGAAAUCAACGAGAAUCAGCCGUUCGCCCCUGUCCCUCCGAGCUCAGAGUCGACCUUGAUUGAUUACAAUCCCCGCGCAGCUUCCGCCACGGUUUGGUGAUGGCGAAUACCUCCCCUUGAUCGCGAGUAGUGGAUCGAUGGGACCACAGAAAAGUUAAUGGAGAUAUAUAU